CAAUAGCGUAUAUUAAAGUUGUUGCAGUUAAAAAGCUCGUAGUUGGAUUUCGGAGUGGGUCAGUUGGUCCGCCGCAAGGUGAGUUACUGGCUGGUCUGCUCUUCUUCGCAAAGACUGCGUAUCCUCUUUAUUGAGCGUGCGUAGGAUUUACGACGUUUACUUUGAAAAAAUUAGAGUGUUCAAAGCAGGCUAUCGCUUGAAUACAUGAGCAUGGAAUAAUGGAAUAGGACUUUGGUCUUAUUUUAUUGGUUUCCGAGACCGAAGUAAUGAUUAAUAGGGACAGUUGGGGGUAUUCGUAUUCCAUUGUCAGAGGUGAAAUUCUUGGAUUUUUGGAAGACGAACUACUGCGAAAGCAUUUACCAAGGAUGUUUUCAUUAA
rnacentral:rRNA from 1 species